rnacentral:rRNA from 1 species
CCUACGGGGGGCAGCAGUGGGGAAUAUUGGACAAUGGGGGCAACCCUGAUCCAGCCAUGCCGCGUGUGUGAAGAAGGCCCUCGGGUUGUAAAGCACUUUCAGUGAGGAAGAACGCCUGGUGGUUAAUACCCAUCAGGAAAGACAUCACUCACAGAAGAAGCACCGGCUAACUCCGUGCCAGCAGCCGCGGUAAUACGGAGGGUGCGAGCGUUACUCGGAAUUACUGGGCGUAAAGCGCGCGUAGGUGGCUUGAUAAGCCGGUUGUGAAAGCCCCGGGCUCAACCUGGGAACGGCAUCCGGAACUGUCAAGCUAGAGUGCAGGAGAGGAAGGUAGAAUUCCCGGUGUAGCGGUGAAAUGCGUAGAGAUCGGGAGGAAUACCAGUGGCGAAGGCGGCCUUCUGGACUGACACUGACACUGAGGUGCGAAAGCGUGGGUAGCAAACAGGAUUAGAUACCCCUGUAGUC